CAUGCAAGUCGAGGGGCAGCACGGGGUAGCAAUACCCCGGUGGCGACCGGCGCACGGGUGAGUAACACGUGUGCAACCAACCCCGUACCGGGAGAUAACCCGCGGAAACGUGGACUAACACCCCAUAAUACCUUUCCCCCGCAUGGGGGGGAGUUUAAAACCCCGGUGGUACGGGACGGGCACGCGCGACAUUAGGUAGUUGGCGGGGUAACGGCCCACCAAGCCGACGAUGUCUAGGGGUUCUGAGAGGAAGGUCCCCCACACUGGAACUGAGACACGGUCCAGACUCCUACGGGAGGCAGCAGUGAGGAAUAUUGGUCAAUGGGCGAGAGCCUGAACCAGCCAAGUCGCGUGAGGGAAGAAUGGUCUAUGGCCUGUAAACCUCUUUUGUCAAGGAAGAAUAAGCGGCACGAGUGCCACCUUGCCAGUACUUGACGAAUAAGCAUCGGCUAACUCCGUGCCAGCAGCCGCGGUAAUACGGGGGAUGCGAGCGUUAUCCGGAUUUAUUGGGUUUAAAGGGCGCGUAGGCGGGACGGCAAGUCAGCGGUAAAAGACUGCAGCUAAACUGUAGCACGCCGUUGAAACUGUCGACCUGGAGACGAGACGAGGGAGGCGGAACAAGUGAAGUAGCGGUGAAAUGCAUAGAUAUCACUUGGAACCCCGAUAGCGAAGGCAGCUUCCCAGGCUCGAUCUGACGCUGAUGCGCGAGAGCGUGGGUAGCGAACAGGAUUAGAUACCCUGGUAGUCC
rnacentral:rRNA from 1 species